GCUAUGGUGGUCUAGUGGUUAGAGCAUCCGCCUCAGAUGCAGGAGGCAGUGGGUUCAAGCCCUGCGCGAAUCAUGCCAAACA